UUUAAAUUGAGAGUUUGAUCCUGGCUCAGGAUGAACGCUGGCGGCGUGCUUAACACAUGCAAGUCGAGCGAUGAAGUUUCCUUCGGGAAACGGAUUAGCGGCGGACGGGUGAGUAACACGUGGGUAACCUGCCUCAUAGAGUGGAAUAGCCUUCCGAAAGGAAGAUUAAUACCGCAUAACGUUGAAAGAUGGCAUCAUCAUUCAACCAAAGG
rnacentral:rRNA from 1 species